CCCCUCAUCCCUAACCCUUCCUCUUCUUGCCGACUCCCCAUGAUCUGCUCUACCAAGAAAAAACAAGUUCAUUAACCAAUAAGCUGCUUACUCAUGGAAUUUAAAACCACAACACUUCAUUUUAUUUUAUGAUAGCCUUUGGCCACUUCUUUUAGUCACCAGUGUGUUUAAAAACUUACAUUGGAAACAAAGCCAAGACAAACAAAAUCUGUUUGUUUGUUACAAGCUCACACUCCUGAUUUACAGGCACACCAUGCUGCGAGUGGGUUGGAGGGUGUAGAUUGGAGGACCUCCUCAUGGGCCCAGCCAAAAAGGAAAUGGACAAGACCAGGCAGUGCCUCACAGGGACUGACUGGACCAUGAAUGCUUUUUGAUAAAGCAGAAAUCAGCAGCUGGUCCCUCAAGUCCUGUCCACUCUCCAUCCAGGCUAACAAUCCCAAAGUAAUACUGAGUGAAUGCUGCACUGUCAAAGGGUCAGUACUGAGGGAGUGCUGUACUGUAGGAG